UAGAAGAAAAAUAGACGUUGGGGAACCCUCCCAUCUCUUCUUCGUCGAAACAGCUUUGACGCCAAAAGAGAGAGAGAGGGAGUCGAGGAGGAGGCAUCAUGGCUUUUGGGGUUAGUUCGGUUGGAAAAGGCAUCUCCUUCUAGGCAGCAUGGUUGAGCAGGCUGUCUAUCAAAGGCUAUUGCUUCUUGUGCUUCAAUGGUCGUAUCAACAACUUUUGUAAACGUGAAGAAGAUGCAUGUAUGUUUCCAAAGUUUUAGGUUUCUAGAGGUAGGAACUGGAACUACUGAUGGUGCACUACAUUAAGAGUUGAAGGUGAAGAACAACAACAAGGUGGAGGGGAGAAAGUUGUAAUUAACAGCUUGGGAUUUGGAAAUGCUAUCCACUUCUUAUAUACAAAAAGGGCUACGUUUACAAAUCCUCUAGGCUGUUGGAAGCCACCACCGAACGCCGCCUCAAGUCAUCCUCUCCCGAUGCCUCUUGCACUUCCCCUUGUGAGACUACCAACUUCGUUGAUUGCUGUGAUGAAGGUGUAUGGUUUGAUGUGUUUGAUUGCUGUGACGAAGGUGUAUGGUUUGAUGUGGCCGCUGCCGAUGGGGUCGGUGUGUUGAAGUUGAUGAUGGGGUCGGUGUGUUGAAGUUGAUGUCCGCUGGUGAGGUUCAAGUCAUUGUCAAUUCCUUGUUGCCACUGGUUGAUGGCAUGAUGAUCAACUUUGAUGAUUACUUUCUGCCUCUCCUUGCAGUUCAGGAUAUGGCGUUUUUGUGCAUCAACGGAUUCAGACUGUCUGCCCUUGAGCGGUGCUCCCUUUCUUUUUCCCCCAUUGGUUCUUCCUUAAUGCGUUCCUUAGACGGAUGAGCCAGCCAGUACGUGAUCACAGUCGAUAACUUCUUUGUCUCCAGACGCUCAUGUUAAAGUCGGGGAUGGCUACCUCAAACAGGAGAAAAGUAAGUUAGGGUUUCUCAGGCUGGGAUGCUCGAUGUCUUGGAACCUUGGCCUUGUCAUCCUCUGCCCACUCACAAUCUCAAGGACUAUGACCUCAAGACAGCUGGGUUGGGACAAUUGAAAUAGGAAAGUUCUAAUUCAAUAUCAGACGGGGAAGAGAGUUUGAUCUUAAAAGCAAUCACAAGGGUUUUGAUUUUCGUUCUACUUGGUCUUCUUGUAGUGUGCAUGAUUGUUGUGGGGAUGUGCCUAGGGUUCCGACCUUGACUUGCUCUGGUUUUUAAGGAUCGGAUUUAGGAAAAUCAACAAUUGAAUGAGAAUCGAGCCACUCGCUUUUGCCGCCACAGUUUUGGUCCUUAUUUUUUUGUUCGGUUUACUAACUACAGUUGUCUUUUCCUGUAGAGCACCUCACUGUCAGUUAACAAUAUUCUUGCAUGUUGUGGGUCUAUGUGUGGAGGUGGCUGUGAUGGAGGCUGGCCUAUCAAUGACUGUCAAUACUUUGUCCAAAAUGGCGUCGUCACAGAAGAGGGACCUUUCUGUUUCCUAGAGGGGAAUUAAUUUUGAUGGAGUUUUUUCGUGCAAACAUGCUUCUGGACAGCAAUAUGAAGAAUGCAAUGAUAUAGCUACCAAAGGUGAAUGGUGGUUGUUGGAUUGAUCGUGCGCGCUUUUGCUGUGCAGGAACCUCAAAAGCAUUGCUGAAUGAUCAGGUUCAAUACCACUGGCAUCCAAGAUUUCAAGCAUCAAACUGAGGUCGAUUCCUCAAAACAUUUCUGUGCAAUCAUAUUACGAGAAACACCUGCAGAAAAUCCCGUGUUCGACAUGAAUUCCUCCAAGCGCCUUGCAUUUGUCAGGUAGAGGUAACUGAUCA